rnacentral:lncRNA from 1 species
CUAUCAUGGGCAGACACUAGACCUCACCAUGAUUCAAAUCCAUUCAGUCAUGUAUUCACUCCUUCAUCCAACACACAUUUUAAUGGCCCCCUGCCAUGUGUCAGCAUAGGGCCAGGUGCUAGAGACACACCAAAUGUGUGUCCCAACCCCUACUGUUGAGGAGAUUAUAGGUUAGUAAGAAAGUUAAGGUAUAUGAUGUAAACAGUGACAGUAAAAAAAACAUAAAAAAGUAAUGUGUGAUAAGGAGAGUGCAAGUAAAAUCCUAGAUACGAGGAAGAUAAUUUGGGGAAGAGUAGUUGUUUCUUAAUAGGCAAUAUCGUGCAACGGCUGAGAGUACAGACUCUGGGACAACAGACCUGGGUUCAAAUCCUGUCUUUGCCACCUACUAACUAUGUAACUCCACAGAGAAAUGAAGAGAAUCUUGAGGUUCUUGUAAAGAUCAAGUGUCCAGCUGCUGUGGAUGUCGGCUGCUAUACUCAGGGAAAGUGGCAUAGAAAAUGGGUUUUCUGCAUGUGUGGAACAGGCCCAGGAUCCUGUGGAAAAGCUGCAUUAUAAUCGAUAGCCUCAUAAAUAAAUAAAUAGUCAACGCAUCCUGUCUCCAGUUCAGGGCUUCUUUAGGAAAAUCGAACCCCGACCCACUUCUGCUUGCUCAUUCUGGAUUUCUAUGGAGGCUUCCAGUGGGAAGAAACUCUUAAAAGUCAUUUUGGGCAUUCCUCUGCUUCAGGGCUGGCCUGCCAUCAGUCAUGACCUGAAGGAAAGAAUUAGGAGGUAAAUCCAUAGCUAAGAUACCCACGAUACUUACACACACACAUAACAAAAUGGUGCUGUUUUAAGAUGUCUACAUUGCAUGCAGUUCCUUUCCCCCAGCACUGAUAAUUGGG